AAAAAAAAUACAAUCUUUUACGAUAAAUGGAAAAAAAAUAUAAAAUAAUAAUUGAGUUUAAAUUGCUCAAUCACAAUUGUAUAGCAUUUGAAUAUGUUUUUUAGUAAUUUUAAAAAAAAUGAUAAGCAAUUUAAUAAUUUUGAUACAUUAAAUGAUUAAUCUAUCAUUUAACUCGUUUUUUUAAAGCACCGGAUCAAUUAGGGAACACCAAAAUCACCAAGCACCAUAACAUUGAGGUCACAACACAUUAAAACUUGCAACAUCUUUAUUGUGACUUAAAGUUAAAUAUCCCAAUAAUAGCAAUGUACUUCCAUGGUUGUGAUAAUAUCAAUUUGAUUCCCCAUCGACACCCAACAGAAACAUGAAUUGCUAAUGGUAAAUAGAACCAUGUAGAAACUAUGUCUUCACGAAAGCUCCAUACUAACCUUGGGGUAAAAUUGUCCAAAACUUUCAUCGGGUGAUUAGCACCUUUAUUGAUACUUCCAACGCCUUCAAAUUAAACAUGAUCUUUAACAUUCACCAAAUUACCAUCCAAUGAUAUUGACAAUCUUUCAGACCAACCAUUUUGUAAACAGGGGUAUAAUCGUCCAUAUUUUGCCUAAGCGGAAAUCAACCAAAUUAGAGCAUCCGACAGCAACAAAUCGUGAUUAAACUUCGCCUUCACCGUGUAUCCUCUCUGUUGUAUAAUAAUUCUCUCCAUAUUGCAUUGAUAUUUCUGCUUAUCAUAAUAAGUGCUUCAUUGAGCAUAAACACUGGCAAGCUUAGUGAGAUAAAUUGACAACUUACAGUUACAUAAUGGAGAACAAAAGUGUAAGUUGCUUACCGUGUUCAGAAGUAAGGAUGUAAUAAACAUAAACGGCUUAACAAAAUACACAUAUUAAACAGAUUGUAUGGUUGGUACAGUUGAAAAUAAACAAAUUGAAUCAACAAACUAUAACAAAAUAUUAACAUAAUGACUUUUUAAACAAACCACCAUGCCUAGUUUUUCCUUGAAAAUUAAACUUUACCAAAAAGAUACUAACUUUGAUCAAUUUUCUGAAAUCAUGGAGUUAUAACCAUAAUAAGUACAUAAGCAAAGUCUUAAAUUUCAGUUACCAUAGUUGAUGUAGUGUCAGCAGUUCAAACUUCAUUUGGUUCGGCUCAGGAAUAUGAAAGCAACACUGACCAUGGAUACAUCUUGUUUUAUGAGAGCCUUGUUGGAAAUAAUAACAUCACCUGUUGAAUCAAAUUCAAUCGUAUGUUAUGCUAUUUUUUCCUUUUCUUUUUUUCUUUUGUGUUUCGUUUUUUGUUUUGUGAUAUGGUAAUGGUAUAGAACAUUUUGGGUUAGGCUCAGGAGUAUGCAAGCAACACUCAAUGGACCUGUUUUGUUUACAUGGCGUCUAUUGGUGGUACCCAGUCCACCACCCAUUUAUAAUUUAAAGCCAAGUUCAAUGCAUGGUGGAUUCACAGUAUUCACAGUCUACUACCUUAUCAAUUUGGCUGCAUCUACCUCUCUACUAUUAUCAAGUAUCUCUGUAUUUUUUUUCACUUAACUCAUCAAAGCAAAAGUAUGGCUUCUAUAUCAACUCACAAACAGGGUAUACAUCUAAUUACCAUUAUAUAAAAUCUUAAUAAUCUUCAUUCACAUCCAAAGUGCAAACAUUACCUUUUGUAAAAAAAUAUAGGGAAAAUUAUUGGAUGUGAUGAAAAAAUGUCAAUUUAGACAGAAUCAACAAAAUUCAACUACAAAUUGGAGUGAAGAGCUUACUUUUUUGAGGGAAGAAGGAUUUUGGGUUCGAUAAAAAAUGAAGAACAGAUGCCGAUGUCUCCAAAAAUAUUUAAGUGAUACUAGGUAUAAAAUAACCUAAUGUUUCAUUCAAAUCACCUUAUGGCAGUUAGGGUCAAUGGUCAUCCGUUGAGUCACCAGUCGUUCGAUUGUCACCUAUGUUGAGAAGAGCGAUAUCUGCUUGAUGCGGCAGUGAGAGAGGUGGUGGAAGACCCUGGUCGAUUGAUGUUCGUCUCUCUCCCAAUCGGUCUGUCAUCCACUUCAAAUUUUGCCAUCGUUUCCUCCUCUUGUUCCGCCAUCGAAGCUUACCAAAAAGAUCAAAGAAAAGGAGUCGGAUGGAAAUUAGAGGUUACAAAGCAAGAAUGUUGAAAUAUUAAAGGGACGACUGAUUUUACAACUGAAGGGAGAGAAUUAGGGAUUUUGAAACCCAAAUCACAGCUUAAUACCGAGAUUUGAGGAUGACUGAAGAUUUAGAAGAUAAAUUCUUGAUUUUCAGAUUGAAAUAUGAAAAUUGAAGAGGAAAGUAUUUGACUGGUAUAUAAGGGGUGAGAGG
rnacentral:lncRNA from 1 species